ensembl:lncRNA
GAUUGUCACCAUCCUAGCUAGCUAUGAUAGCUAUGCUAGAUAGAUACCUCCCCAGAGUCUCUCGCCAGAGACGGAAUUAAGAAUAAGAAUAAAGAAUCUUUGUAGGUUAUUAGCUAGCUUGACAUAUUAUAUACAGAUCUUAACUGCGUUCGAGAAUGAGGUCAAUCUCUUUACAUAUCGUGUAUCAUAGCGGCAGUGACAGGGGAGAGAGGAGGAACAGGAACAAUCUCACAACCUGACCAUCUACUGGGCUCAGUGGGCUGAUUGACUGAAAUACGGAGCUGCCGGUAGCCCCGCCCAUUGGGAAACAGCAUGUGAACCAAACCACUUUGAGGAAUAGGGGGAUCAUGAUUUUUCAACACUUAAAAAACACAUUGUUUUACGUUUAUAAUUAGCACCGCUUGUGUCGUCGUGCUUUUAAUAUUUCUAUUUUUUUUUUCGUUUUCUUUCUAAUGAUUGUUGGGGGGGGAUCUCAGCCUAUGAAUGCUAGCCAGCCUGCUCGCUAUCUAAGCUGCUAACGUUAGCUACAUGGUAUUUGUGGUGGGUUGUGAGUAACAUUUGCCAAUUUCUUUUCAUUUCAGAAAUGUCCCUGCUGGAGGCACAACUUGCUAUUUCUCUUUCCAACUACCGAGUGUUUCUUGCGGGGCUCCAAUUGGGACAUCAAGACAGGCUAUCUCAUGAAACAUACAUACAUACAUACAUGAUAAUAUGGAUCUAUAUGGAUUUGGAUAGGUUGUUGGGUAUAUUUUGGAGGGGCUAUAGACAUCAAAUAUAUCCUCACAAGAAAAUACAAUAUAUUACACUGAAACUAAUUUAAAUGGUUUGCUGUAGUACAGAAGUCAAGAAUGAGUACGAAUGCUUGACAUACAGUGUAGUGACAGGUAUUUGCUUUUGUAUUUGGUGAUUUUGGAGAGGUUAUGAGACACUUGGAGACGUCUAAAGAUACCAUAUGGAAACUGAUGUGUAACACUUGUAAACCUUUGUCUAUCUGCUUCAAAUUUUUUACACACACUGUCAAUAUGUUGUUGAAUCAGGA